CCCACUGCGAGGCAGGCAGUGAUGCUGCGGCCGCUUCGCACUGUGGCUCCUGCCGACCGCCAGGCGCUGUUACAGUGGAUGCGAACUAACCGUAAGUAUGCAGCAGCAGCCGGAACCCACAGUUCACCUUGGUGCAUUCCUUUAUGAUGAAGACUUAUUGAUUCAUUAUAUGAGAAAGGAAAAAUGAGCAGAAACUACUGUAUGAUGUGCAGCUCACACCAGACAGCAACUUUAGCACAUGUGCCUCACUCUUCAUGGUAAAUGUUUUACUGAAGAAUAACAUACAGAAAAGUGGACAAGUCUUAACUGCACAGCUCAAUGAAUUUCCAUGAAGUAAAUAUACCCAUAUGAUAAUCCAGCUCAAGAAACAGAAAAUCACUACCACCCCAGAAGACUGCCUUAUACUACCAUCUUUUAAGAGUGAAUCACACAUGGGGUACUCCUUGUAUCUGGCCUCUUUCUUUUUUUCUUUCUUUUUAAUUAUUAUUUUUGUUUGAGAUGGAGUCUCAUUCUGUCACCCAGGCUAGAGUGCAGUGUCAUGAUCUCGGCUCACUGUAACCUCUGCCUCCCGGGUUCAAGCAAUUCUCCUGCCUCAGCCUCCUGAGUAGCUGGGACUACAGGCACCCGCCACCACGCCCAGCUGAUUUUUGUAUUUUUGGUAGAGACAGGGUUUCGCCAUGUUGGCCAGGCUGGUCUCGAACUUCUGUCCUCAGGUGAUCCACCCACCUCGGCCUCCCAAAGUGCUGGGAUUACAGGCGUGAGCCACUGCACCCGGCCUGUUUCCAGCCUUUGUUCAACAUUAUGUUUGUGAAGUUAAUCUGUGUUGUUUUAUGUAAUUAUAGUUCACUCAUUCUUUCAUGGGCUUAAAUCUUUUUACAAUAAAAUUUUAAGAGAAUAAAAUUGUAAAAAAAAAAAGCUCAUGACAUGCAAUAAACUGUAUAAUUUGA
ensembl:lncRNA novel transcript